rnacentral:rRNA from 1 species
AUUGAACGCUGGCGGAAUGCUUUACACAUGCAAGUCGAGCGGCAGCGCGGGGCAACCUGGCGGCGAGCGGCGAAUGGGUGAGUAAUACAUCGGAACGUACCCAGUUGUGGGGGAUAGCCCGGCGAAAGCCGGAUUAAUACCGCAUACGACCUGAGGGUGAAAGGGGGGGAUCGCAAGACCUCUCGCAGUUGGAGCGGCCGAUGGCGGAUUAGCUAGUUGGUGGGAUAAAGGCCCACCAAGGCGACGAUCCGUAGCGGGUCUGAGAGGACGACCCGCCCCACUGGAACUGGGACACGGGCCAGACUCCUACGGGAGGCAGCAGUGGGGAAUUUUGGACAAUGGGGGCAACCCUGAUCCAGCCAUUCCGCGUGAGUGAAGAAGGCCUUCGGGUUGUAAAGCUCUUUCGGCAGGAACGAAACGGUGGGUCUUAAUACGAUCUGCUAAUGACGGUGCCUGAAGAAGAAGCACCGGCUAACUACGUGCCAGCAGCCGCAGUAACAC